rnacentral:rRNA from 1 species
GGAUAGCGGAUAGGUUUCAGACGUGUAGGACAACUAGUUACUGUGGGUCUUAUCUAGAGUACUUGCAGGACCGAUCAGGACGUGAACCAUGUAACCAGGGUAGAGGACCGGGAUUAGAUACCCCGUUACUCUUGGCGUGAAGCAUAGUGAGGUCGAUUGGUGUUGUAUGCUUGCCGGGCAACUACGCCUUAACAGGUAAAAGUCGAAGUAAUUGGCGGUCUAGAGAUGAACCAGCCCGCGAGACUUGACGGUUAAUCCGAUGAUCCGCGUAAAUUCUACUCUUUUCUUGCAUUCCCAGUUGGUGUAUGGCCGUGUAGUGCUUCUUGAAAGGGAGUUGCAAGAUCCAUGUUCAUGCUAGUAUGCGUGGGCUUGUGGAGGAAGGCAGGUCGUCAUGCCGCUCAUGAAGGAGGCUUAGUUGAGUCACAUUGAAAGCAAAUCAAGCGGAACCAGGAAGGAAGUAGCUUGGGGAAGAAGUAGUGGGUAGUAAGAAGAGAAUAAUUCGCUUUUUUGAAUCGAGAACUCCUAGGUGUACAAAUCGCCCGUCGCCCCCAGAGCCAAGGACCUUUUUGAAGAAGUAAUUCCGAAAUUCCGGGGUAAGUCGUAACA